rnacentral:rRNA from 1 species
AUGGUCGAUGGUGUUGUCCAAGUCUAUGCGGAUAAAGACCGUACGGAAAGGAUUUAUCCUGUUGCUGAUGCUACAACCUUUUUCACCGACUUACAUUAUGUUCUCCGGAUGACUGCCGCGGGGAACACAAGAACUGUCUGCCAUAACCGACUGAAUCUUCUAGAACAUAAGUUCAAAUUUCAUCUGAUGUUAAACGCGGACAGGGAGUUUCUUGCCCAAAAAACUACACCACAUCGUGAUAUUUACAAUGUUAGGAAGGUCGACACUCAUGUUCACCACUCAGCAUGCAUGAAUCAGAAACAUUUGCUGAGAUUCAUCAAGUCCAAACUGAGAAAAGAACCUGAUGAGGUUGUCAUUUUCAGAGAUGGUACAUAUAUGACUUUGAAGGAGGUUUUUGAGAGCUUGGGCUUAACUGGGUAUGACUUGAAUGUUGAUUUGCUAGAUGUCCAUGCGGACAAAAGUACGUUUCAUCGUUUUGACAAAUUCAACCUUAAAUACAAUCCAUGUGGCCAAAGUAGGCUACGGGAGAUUUUCCUUAAACAGGACAAUCUUAUUCAAGAUCGACUUGCAAUGUUGAACAGAUCACUAUGUUAG